UAUGCCAGGGUCUCGCCAUCCAUGAUUUUAUUUGAGCCUCACCGAAACUCAGUGAGGCAAGCACCUUUACCUCCAGGGUACAGAUAAGAAAACUUACACCUUUGGGAUGUUAAGAAACUUGUCAUUAAGAGAGCGAUGAAACCAACAUCUUAAACCCUAAAUCAGAGCUCAUUAAGGCAACCUACCCGUUUCAUCCACCAACCAGCCAACUUUUUCCUACAAUUAUUUUGACAUAUUUUUAGUCAAAUGACUUUUUGGCUUAUGAAUCUACUAAACAGUAAAAUCAAAAUAGUAGCAUCAUCCAGAAGCAAUCAAAGGCCUUCAUGUGGUGUCAGACAUCAGUUUCACCAGGAGAUCACGAAGGAACUCUCCAUCGAGCUUACCCUGAUCUCCGACCUCGGCUGUGUCCAAGGUGGCCGAGGGGCCUUGGAUGAAGAAGGUCGAAGAAUAUUUCGUCUUCAGCCUCCCCUUGCCCCCACGCCCAAGCUCAUCUCGGAGGGCGGUGCUAUUUCAGUCCAGCAGACUCUCCCGAAGUAGGACUCUGAUGCAGGUCUGCUGAGUUUCAGGAGAAAUGGGAAAUCUUUAUUCUCACUGGAAAACUUCCAGAAUUUUAAAUGCUGGUGCACAGUUUCAAAACAUGUUUUAAAUCCGUCUGUGGUUGCUUCGCCCAUUGCUGUCUCUGAAGGCCUCCGGUUUAGGAACGUGGUGGUGUGGGGAAGACAGGAACGUAUCUAGGAAGGGGAAGGGGGCCGCCAUCUUUCCACUCCUUCUGAGCCCUUUUCCCUCAGUCACCUGGCCGCUCUUCAGUCCAUGAACUCCAUUUGCAAAUGACCGGGGUCAGUUGGCUUGCAAUUGUCCCAAAGAUGGGCCAGACUGGUGCAACGAGAACCUUCCCAGAGGUGGCUGUACCGGGGACCAAGAGUGGCAGCUAGUCUUUAUCGGUGACCAAGCAGCAUGAGAGGCGGGCCCAUCACCAUCUGAGGGAACUGAUGUGCGGAGGAGAGAGAGAAACAGAGUCGGAGAAGCAGCUGAGACCCUGCUUCCAGGACUUCCCCACACUGGGUUACGCGUCUGCCCUUCUCACGUCAUGUGAGCCAUCCACAAAAUUCUCCUUUUGCUUCUUCAUUUGAAUGACACUUCUUUCGAUACAGAAAACAACAACAAAAAACCCUGAACAAGACCCCAGGACAAGUUAAUGAA